GUUUAUUAAUUAUGAAAUUAUGAAAAAUAUGAAUAACAUUCCACCCAUGAGGCCACUAGGUCAUUUAACUGCGGGAAAGGGGUACUACAACAAUUAAAAUAUACACGUUCAGAUAUAGAGUAUAAAUAUCCAAAUAUAAAUACAGUUGUAUUCACCAUAGAAUAUUCAUAAUGGGCAGACAGACACAUUUUCUGUCACUAGUGACAAAUAAACAGCAUUGGUUUCAGCAGACAGACAUGGCUGUCCACUAUUUGUUAAAGACAUCCCUCACCCGGAGUAGAGGUAAUGUCCCUCUUUUUCUCUCUUCUCUUUUGCAGCAUAAUCAUCAUUCCAUCUUUACAUCACAUCACCUCAUACCAGGGACGUGUUCAUUAGGCACCGAACGGAAGAAAACAGACCCAAGUAGUGUGGAAGUACCUGAACUUAUCCAAUGAGAAACGUUAGUUUUCAUAUUCCGUUGUAAAAUCUUAUGCUACAGUGUGCCCUAAUGAACACGACCUAAGUGCUAUUCAAGUAUCACAUCAAGUACUACUACGUACUGUAUAUAUGAUUACAUAACGAGAUUUUCCCCUCACAAGCAAGCACACAGCUGAACACAAACAGCUGAUCACACACAGCUGAACACACACAGCAGAACACACACAGCAGAACACACACAGCUGAACACACACAGUACAUGCAUGUGGGAUUGCGUAGGUAGAGAGAGAGAGAGAGAGAGAUAGACAUAAAUGGAGAGAGAGGGAGAGAGAGUGACAUAUGAAGGGAGAGACCAAGACCGAGAGAGAGAGACAUAAAUGGAGAGAGAGGGAGAGAGAGUGACAUAUGAAGGGAGAGAGAGGGGGAGACCAUGACCGAGAGAGAGAGAGAGAGAGAGAGAUAAAUGGAGAGAGAGGGAGAGAGAAUGACAUAUAAAGGGAGAGAGAGGGAGAGAAAGAUAUGGUUACAAUGUAAUCAUCAGUAAACAUCAGAACCACCUGGGGCCUUGUCUCUGUCUCUCUCUCUCUCUCUUCUAAGGGAUUCUCAGAGCGCUGCCUACAAAUCAUCUCUUUUAUAAAUAUCCCACCCUGCUUCUUUUGAUAUUCAGACUUGGCUUCCUUUCAAUUUAAAACUAUGUUAUGUUACUAUUUGUGGCAAAUACUCCACGGAAAUAGAAACAUAACAGCGUAAGUCACCAGAGACUCAUGAAAUAAAUAUGUUCCUCAGUCUUCAUUAAUCAUGUUCAAUUAGUGCAAGAGAAAAAAAAGGAAAUUCAACAGAACAACUCCAGUUUUACUCCAGUCUUACCAUGACUUCAGCAGUGCAUGGCUGGAUGAACCAAGUCUCUGGCCAGGGAAAGGAACAAUUUAAAGCUCGCCUCUUGGCAUCAGAGAGAAAAUGUUGCAGUUUUCAAGCACAUUUCCUGCAAUUCUACACAUUUUGUAAUGAGGCAUGUACAACUUUGCUGUUUUAAAGGCCCAGUGCAGUCAAACAUUAUAUUUAUAUAUUUCCACACUAUGAGGUUGGAAUAAUACUGUGAAAUUGGGAAAAUUAUGAUAAUGCUGUAAGAGCUGUUGAAAAGUCCACCUAAAAUUUCAGCAUGUUUUGAUGGGAUGGUGUUUUGUUCUAGCAAUAAAUUAGUUAAUAGACCAAUAAGAAAGAGAGUUCCAAACCUCUCUGCCAAUAACAGCUAGUUUUCAGUUUUCCCCUUCCCAGGGGUCUGCAGACCCCACUUUGAGAACCCCUGCUCUAGCGUUUCUAGCCCAGGACUAAGAGCGUCUGGGGUUAAGUAUAGACUUGGGAUAACCACACGCAAUGUGAAAAGACCUUUUGAAGCUAGCCUGCUGGUAGCAGACGUGUUUGAGCCUCAGCCUGACUCCUUGGUCGUGUCCGUUGUCAUGCCAAACUCGACUAACAAUGUAUGGCAUGCCGUGACGACGCAAGUCAGUAGAGCUGGCUGUAAAGCACAUAGAAUAGUAUACACAUCCCACUGUGGCCACACUGGUUGUAUCAACGCUGUUUGCAUGUCAUUUCAAUGAAAUUACGUUGAAUAGACGUUAAAUUGACGUCUGUGCCCAGUGAGAGUACUGGAGAACCCAGCUACUUCAGCCAGUAAAGCCAGAAACUGUUUUCACUAAGAAACGCCACCAAGCUAGUAAAGCCACUUGUUAUUCUGUCCAGUAACAAAAAGGACAAGAAGGCAGCAUUCCUAUUCUGUGGCUUAACGCCCGGACCACUGCCUUUAUCCUGCGCCAGAGCAGCCAGAGUUCAGAGACAUUUUCAGUGCCGUUUCCAGUAAAGCAUUCUAACUCUAAAUAAUAAUCGUAUUCCGUUCAGAAUGACCAGUGGUGUAAAGUACUUAAGUAAAAAUAAUUUAAAGUACUACUUAAGUAGUUUUUUGGGGUACUUUUACUUCACUACAUUCCUAAAGAAAAUAAUGUAGUUUUUACUACAUACAUUUUCUCUGACACCCAAAAGUACUUGUUGCAUGUUGAGUGCUUAGCAGGACAGGAAAAUGGUCCAAUUCACGCACUUAUCAAGAGAACAUCCCUGGUCAUCCCUACUGCCUCAGAUCUGGCUGACUCACUAAACACAUAUGCAUCGUUUGUAAAUGAUGUCUGAGUGUUAAUGUGUACCCCUGGCUAUCCGUACAUUUUAAAAACAAGAAAAUAGUGCCGUCUGUUCUUGAUUUAUAUAAGGAAUUUGAAAUGAUUCAUACUUUUACUUUUGAUACUUAAGUAUAUUUUAGCAAUUACAUUUACUUUAAGACUACUUAAGUGUAUUUAGAACCAAAUACUUUAAGACUUUUACUCAAGUAGUAUUUUACUGGGUGACUUUCACUUUUACUUGAGUAACUUUCUAUUAAGGUAUCUAUACUUUUACUCAGGUAUGAUAAUUGGGUACUUUUUCCAUCUCUCUCUCUGUCUCUCUCUCUCUCUCUCUCUCACAGCCUUUUCACACUAUCGUGCCAAUCUGAACCAUACUGCGUUAGUUCAUCAAAUGUUUCCAGCAUAAUUCCAGUAGGCCAGCGCAGUAGAGCUCACCUCAGUUUGGCUGGGUUCAGUAGAGUAGAGGAUAUAAGACAAAGCUGUACUGACUAACACAUUCAAUAGAGGGCAUAGUUACAGUACAUUCACACACAAUAAACUGCAACAUUUUCGGGACAAAGGCAAAAGCAGGAGAAAGGGCUGAUCCAUGCCAUUGCAUGUCUAUCCUACUACACUAGACAUGUAACCAUAGAGCUGAGGCUGACCUGUGAGUGGAGAGAGGCUGCGUCUUUAUUGGCACCCUUUUCCCUAUAUAGUGCACUACAUAUGACCGGGGUUCUGGUCAAAAGUAGUGCACUAAAUAUGGAAUAGGGUGCCAUUUGGGAUGCAGACCGAGUCUUUGGCACUGAAAGGCUAUGUAUCUGUUUUCUCUUUAUGCAUAGACACAUUUAACACCUUGCUAGACGCCAUUGGUGUUCUAUAGGACUGGGUCAAUACUUGGCUAAUCAAUGACACUUUUGUCAAGGGGAGAGCCCGUUUAAAACAGGCACCGCUCCAGACUGAAGGCCAGACUCCCUUCUCUACCUCUGUUGACGUGUAUGUGCAUUCUAAUCUACACCCAUUUAACUCUCUCUACGCAUCCAGAGAUACACUGUAGUAGUCAAGACCACCGUCAAUAUGUUAGUUCUAUCGUCAAGACAACCAUCAAUGUUAGUUCUAUCAUCAAGACAAUCAUCAAUGUUAGUUCUAUCGUCAAGACAAUCAUCAAUAUGUUAGUUCUAUCAUCAAGACAAUUAUCAAUGUUAGUUCUAUCAUCAAGACAAUCAUCAAUAUGUUAGUUCUAUCAUCAAGACAAUCAUCAAUAUGUUAGUUCUAUCAUCAAGACAAUCAUCAAUAUGUUAGUUCUAUCAUCAAGACACACUCAAUAUGUUAGUUCUAUCAUCAAGACAAUCAUCAAUAUGUUAGUUCUAUCAUCAAGACAAUCAUCAAUAUGUUAGUUCUAUCAUCAAGACAAUCAUCAAUGUUAGUUCUAUCAUCAGGACAAUCAGCCCAAGUGGUUACCUCAGUAACACUGUGUAGCCUAGCCUACUCAUUCUCAGAACAUCUAUUGAGAGAAGCUAGAUGAGUCCACUGCCUCUAUUCCCUAAUGACACAAACCUGUACAGAUCCUUUUAAAACACUGAUUCAUCAGUACAAAAUGAGGAUGGUCCAAUCAAAUGAAUGCCAUUAAUAAAUCCUCACCACCGCAAGAGAGGGGUUUCCCAGAUCCCUGAGCAGUUUCCUAAUUUUUCAGGAACAUUGAGGAAAGAGAGGAAAGGAUGGAAAACCGGUCUUUGAGUGUGUUUGCGUGUGUCUGUGUUUGCGUGUGUGUGUGUUUGCGUGUUUGUCGUGCUGCAGUAGUCCCAGUCUCCUCCAGUGGUCAGUCACAACAGGCUAUUCCACGAGAGAUGAGAAAAAUGGUGAGGGGGGAGUGGGAAAUGUUUUAAUGGUAAUAGUAAUGUGAGGGAGGGAGGGUUGUCUCCCCCUGAGAUAGCUGUCUGUCUGUCAGGGUCGAGGGAGGAGAGGGAGAGGAGGAGAGAGAGGGAGGAGAGAGAGAGAGAGGAGGAGAGGGAGUGGAGGAGAGAGAGGGAGGAGAGAGAGGGAGGAGAGGGAGUGGAGGAGAGAGAGGGAGGAGAGGGAGUGGAGGAGAGAGAGGGAGGAGAUGGAGAGGAGGAGAGGGAGAGGAGGAGAGAGAGGGAGAAGAGGGAGAGGAGAUGAGAGAGGGAGGAGAGAGAGAGAGAGGAGAGGGAGAGGAGGAAAGAGAGGAAGGAGAGGGAGAGGAGGAGAAAGAGGAGGAGAGAGAGGGAGAAGAGGGAGAGAAGAGAGAGGGAGGAGAGAGAGGAGAGGGAGAGGAGGAAAGAGAGGAAGGAGAGGGAGAGGAGGAGAAAGGGGAGGAGAGGGAGAGGAGGAGAGGGAGAGGAGGAGAGAGAGGGAGGAGAGGGAGAGAAGGAGAGGGAGAGGAGGAGAGAGAGGGAGAAGAGGGAGAGGAGAUGAGAGAGGGAGGAGAGAGAGAGAGAGGAGAGGGAGAGGAGGAAAGAGAGGAAGGAGAGGGAGAGGAGGAGAAAGAGGAGGAGAGAGAGGGAGAAGAGGGAGAGGAGAAGAGAGGGAGGAGAGAGAGGAGAGGGAGAGGAGGAAAGAGAGGAAGGAGAGGGAGAGGAGGAGAAAGAGGAGGAGAGAGAGAGGAGGAGAGAGAGGGAGGAGAGAGAGGGAGGAGAGGGAGAGGAGGAGAGAGAGGGAGAAGAGGGAGAGGAGAAGAGAGAGGGAGGAGAGAGAGAGGAGAGGGAGAGGAGGAAAGAGAGGAAGGAGAGGGAGAGGAGGAGAGAGAGGGAGAAGAGGGAGAGGAGAAGAGAGAGGGAGAGAGAGGAGAGGGAGAGGAGGAAAGAGAGGAGGGAGAGGGAGAGGAGGAGAAAGAGGAGGAGAGAGAGGGAGGAGAGAGAGGGGGAAAUUCUCCAAAGAGCAGAAAAGCAGAUGGAAACGGGUAACACACAAGUCAGAGCCUUUUUCCAUGAUCCAGCUCUCCAGUUCUCUGCUCCACUCGCUCAAGGCACUGAAAAGGGGACGGGAGGGGUCCCUCAGAGUGGAGUGUCACCAAGUCAAAGUCUCCCUCGGUGGAAUGUCCCCUCAGCAGUAAUGUCCUUCAUUUAUCCCGUCCUGUCCCCUGCUCGCUCUCUCUUGCUCUCUCUCUGUGAGAGAGGAGCUGAGGUCGUACGACUGCAGAGAAACUGACAGAGGUCAAUGCUCAUAGUCACACUACAGCGUAUCAGGUGUGCAGUGCAGUCCCUCACUCAGCUCUCUCCACUCCACUCUCCACUCCACUCCACUCUCCACUCCCAGAAUGGCUGCAUGGAGAAAACAGGGGGGAAAAUGCCUUCACGUCCCUUUUCCACUGACAGGAUUAACACCGGUGCUGGACCUAAAAACUCUGAAUUCUGUGUUACCAAUAGCUGAGGCAGAGAGACAUUGUUUCCUUUGGGCCUUUAUAGCCUUUAUGACAUGUGGAAUAUUCUCCUCCUUGGUCUGUAUUCCACAGUCUAGAAUAGUAGUCUUUUCUGUGCCUCAGAAAGGCACAAAGGCACAGACUGACCUACUACUGUAAUACUGAAGGGACUGGUCACUCUGGUCUAGUGUAAUAGUGUAGAUGUGUGAUUUCUUUGUUCCAUACAUUAGUUCUUGUGUUCUUACACUGGAAAAAGUCCACAGGUUCUGUACAUACUCUUUCGGUCCAGCAGAAUGUCUUUCUUGCACACACACACAUACAUAUACACACACAUAUACACACACACAUACACAAAUACACUCACACAUAUAAACACACAAUUUUCCUGCCCUCUCCUGCUCCUCUCCUCGUCCCUCUACCACCAGCUGCCAGUAAGAUCCUGGUGGACUCAGGUUCCACUCUCCCGUUGCGUAACAAAAGCCCCAACACAUUGCUGCAGUGUCACAGGACGAGUGAAUGACGCGGGGCACCGACGCGGGUGCACUCCUCUUUCGGCCCGGUGUCGAGUUGCCGUCGCUGGCCCACUUUUCACCAGUCGGACGGCCUGUCACCUGUCCUGGCUGGGAGGAAUGCUGCGACUGACGCGGCCGGUGACGGCAGCACUGACUCCGGCAGCAGCUCGGCAUAGCGGAUGAAGUGUCUGUGUGAGGCUCCCGCUGUGUGUGUCAAUGUGUGUGAGGGGGUCUCAGGGAGCCUGUGUGUCUCCUGAGAGGUUGUUUUGACACUGGACACCUGCUGUCCGACGGUAGAAGCGCGUGUGUGGAGGAGGUGGUGAACCCGCAUGCCAGAACCAUCCGUUUCUCUCUCCCUGUGUCUCUCUCUCUCUGUGUCUCUCUCCCUCUGUCUCUCUCUCUCUCUCUCUCUGUCUCUCUCCCUCUGUCUCUCUCUCUCUCUGUCUCUCUCUCUCUCUGUCUCUCUAUCUCUGUCUCUCUCCCUCUGUCUCUCUCCCUCUGUCUCUCUCCCUCUGUCUCUCUCCCUGUGCCUCUCUCCCUCUGUUUCUCUGUCUCAGAGCACAGAGAAGAAAGGGAGGAAUAGCUAGAGUGGGAAGUAUUGUGAGGUUUUGGUCAUAAAGCGCAGAAAUCCUACUCACACUCUCCCUGUCUCUUCCUCCCUCUCUCUCUGUCUCUCUGCUGCGUGUGCCCUGCUUGCUGCUGAUUCCCUGCCAGCAC
rnacentral:lncRNA from 1 species